rnacentral:rRNA from 1 species
GAUGAACGCUGGCGGCGUGCCUAAUACAUGCAAGUCGAGCGAACAGACGAGGAGCUUGCUCCUCUGACGUUAGCGGCGGACGGGUGAGUAACACGUGGAUAACCUACCUAUAAGACUGGGAUAACUUCGGGAAACCGGAGCUAAUACCGGAUAACAUGUUGAACCGCAUGGUUCAACAGUGAAAGACGGUCUUGCUGUCACUUAUAGAUGGAUCCGCGCCGCAUUAGCUAGUUGGUAAGGUAACGGCUUACCAAGGCAACGAUGCGUAGCCGACCUGAGAGGGUGAACGGCCACACUGGAACUGAGACACGGUCCAGACUCCUACGGGAGGCAACAGUUGGGAAUCUUCCGCAAUGGACGAAAGCCUGACGGAGCAACGCCGCGUGGGUGAUGAAGGUCUUCGGAUCGUAAAACUCUGUUAUUAGGGAAGAACAAAUGUGUAAGUAACUAUGCACGUCUUGACGGUACCUAAUCAGAAAGCCACGGCUAACUACGUG